rnacentral:sRNA from 1 species
CAGAAAUGAGGAGGACAUAAGAUACAAGGUGAGACUUUGCAACAGCUUGAACUCAAUGUGUAGCUUAAUGAAAAAAAUAUUCCAUGCCAAACUCUUAUUUUAAGGCAAAACACGAAAUGUUUCUGACCACUCAUAAAAGUAUCAGCAUACAUUGUGAACAAAUUUUAAACACAAUAUUUUUCAUUGUCUCUUUUGCUUUAUUUCUGUUUGAAAUAUCUCAAGUUAGGACCUUGAAGCAAAAAAAAAAGUUAAAAGAUCAUUUUCAUCUACUUAGUUAAGAAUAUUUAUUGUGUGUCCUCAAAUUCAUUACCCAAAUAUGUUUGUGCCCAUUUUCUCAAACAAGAGAUACUUAUUGUGUCACUGAAAGUGACUGACAUUACGCUAGUUCCUGCUUUAGAUGCACAGAAAGGGGGUUCAGGUGGAGAGGAGAGAGAGAGAGAGAGACUCAACAAUUUCUAGAAAUGCAAUUUGGAAAUAGGAAAACUCUAGAGAUCUGCAAUCUGCUCUCAGGAGGAACUAGACAGAGUCCCCCUGUAUAUCAUAGCUUAGUCAGAUAUGUCACAAAGGGGAGCCAUUUGAAGAGAAGCUCACUAUCUGACUUUCCAGGAGAGGUCUCUGAAGACCCUGCGGUCUUACAUCUCUAGGUCCCAAUAGCCUUUUCCCCAGCUGUCUCAGCAGGUGCCUCUCUGAGAACCCCUGUGGGGACAGGAAUGCCAGUGGUGACUUCCACACAUCUCUGGCUGCAAAUUUAUAUGGUGGAACUCAUAAUCUGUCUUAUAGGAAGAAGCUGAAAAGCAUGUCCCUUUGCAAACAGCAGAUGGACCUAGAGAUAGGGUGGAGUGUGGAUUUUGAUGGAGGAGGGAAAGAGCAGUGUGGCACUCACUAAGGUGGCCAGCCAGUGUCUCAUUACUCAGAUGGCUUUGGUUUGGAGGUUUUCUCCAAGCCCAGAGGCUCAGAGUCACAUACAGGAUAAGAUGUCAAACUUAAUUAUCUCCAGUCCUCCACCACAACACCCGUCCAUGCAGUCACACACACACAUACACACACACACACACACACACACACACACACACACACACACACACACACACAUGUGGACUGAUAGGGAUCCUCGGUUGUGGGAGAAAUUCUAUCAGAAUAGGUUUAGCUGAUCGGAUUCGAUCUCGUGUAGCUCCCAUUGUCAUUAUUUAACAUCUCCCUACACAAAUACAUACCUAGACUCAGUGACCAGAAGUGAGCCCUUCAGAGUGGCACACAUUAUCUUAGCUCAGUUAAUGGCUGAGGCAGGUGUGCUCAUCCCUCUGAUUGCCCAUCUGCCUUGAUCAUCUUGUCUGGAUCUCAGAUAGGACAAGGCCCACUACUGUCUAUUCUUCUCCUGGGACUCCUGGUGACCCUAGAAAUGAAGCCUGAGGGAGAGCACCAUGUCUUCCUAAGUCAAGAAAAUUGGUUUUCCUUUUUCCUUCGUGAUCUUAUUUCAGGUUUUCGUCCUUCUCCCUGUCCUCCUUUGAACUUGAUAUGUUUUUGUUUUGUUUUGUUCUUCACUGAGGAUAGAAAGUAUCAGGCUUUAUUCUGGAAUUUCAUACAUUUUGUCGCUUAAUCCUCCUCUCCUGAUUAUCCCUCCAUCCCCCCAAGUUGCAAGAGUCUUCCUUCCACGUCCUCAUAACGGAGUGCAGACUCCUCUUGUGUUCUUCCCUGAUUUUCUUUCUCCUUCUUCAGCCUUGUUUCCUUUCUCUCUGAUCUUAAACCUUUUUUUUUUCUUUUUUCUCAGACUUCCUUUACUGCUGCUUGAGUAAUAAAGUUUAUCUCUUUUCUUUUUACUUAACUUUUCUACUUUCUAUGCAUUUGAUUUUGGGGUAGAGUGGCUAUUUUUAAUUGUUUUUUAAUUACAUCCAUACAUGUGAUUUGCUUUGUUGUUGAUGGAUUUAUUGAAAUGUCCUACAUUUUCCUAGGAUUUGUUGAAUUUCAAGCCUUUGAAAAGGGCUACUCAUAAUGAAAAUCUCCUUAUUAUAGCAGAUGUUCUAUAGCCAUCAGGCGAGAUGUAUACAUGGAAACAUUUAACUAGACGGAAAAAAAUUUACCCCAAAGUGCUUAAUUUUUCAGUAACUGAACUCAAAGCUAUUGAAGCACAUGAAAUGUUAUAUAAAAAAUUUUACAGUUCUAAUUUGUAAAAUUAUUUAUGACAAAAUCAGACACAUGUACAACACCUAACACACACACACACACACACACACACACACACACACACACACUGCCCAAUGGAAUAAAGAAUAGAUUAUAGAUUCUGCCCAAACAAAAUUUCUGAAUAUUUUUUUAAAAAAAUGUAAAUACAAAAAAUAGCCUAAAUAAAAAACUAAGUAGAUGGUUUCACUGAUAGAUUAGAUAUAAUGGAAGAAAAAUACCAGGAUUUACAGAUAGUGAAAAAUUAUUAUUACACUUAAUGUGUGGUAACAAAAAACUAAAAAAAUCAUGACCCCAACUCUCAAGGCCUCUGGAACUCAGUUAGGAGACAAGGCAUGAAGGUAUUGGCAUUGCACAGAGUGUAACAUGCAAGCAACUGUCAUGAAAACCCACUCAGUGGAUGAACAGAACAUUCCCCAGGCUGAGAAAAGAUACAGACAUGAGAGUACAGGAGGCAUUUAGAAUGACAGACAACUAGAAAAGAACUCCUGAAUUAAAAUGCCAAGAAUACAGACACAAUAAUGAGCAGAUUACUAAGUGCUGCAAGAGGGAAGGUUCAGCUCACUUACAAAGACAAACUAUCAAAGUAGUAACAGUCCUAGCCACGGAAACUCCGAAGGCCCGGAGCCUGGGAUGAUGUUAUUAAAGUUGAAAAUAAGUAAAUAAAUGGAUAAAACAAAACAAAAAGCUGGCAUCCAACUGUAAUAUUCAGAUGAAGUUGUCCUGUAAAAUUGAAAGAAAAUUGAUAAGAUGAGAUGAGACCCAAUACAGACCUGCAGAAAUACUGCAAAAGUGUUGAGUUCUUGAUAACCACAAGAGGACCUAGGUUCUGUUCCCAGAACACACUUGGUAGCUUACAACCAUCCAUCACUCCAAUCUCAAGUGAUACAAUAUCCUCUUCUGACCUCUUCAGGCAUCUGGUAUAUAAGUGGCACACAGAAGAAGCAUUCAUUUAAACUAAACUAAAAUAAAAUAUUUUAAAAUAAGUUGAGUAAAUUAAAGCCAUCAUGAAUACCAUACCAGCACUGUAGAAGAUACUUCAAGAAAUACUACUCACAGAAAAACGAGAAAAUAUGCAAUCAUCAGAAGUUAGAAAGAAUAAUCUAUCAUAGAAAGAUAAAAGAGAAAAAAACAAACAUUAUCAAUUCAUUAAGCUAAGAAACUUCUAAGAUGAACAAAGGAGGAAGAAAAUAACAGAGACCAUCCAAAACCGGUAUGAUGGUAAUAGUAACUUCAACUUGGCAAGAUGCCGAAUCACCUCCGCAGAAAGCCUCUGAGGGAGAGAUUAGGUCAGCCUCUAGUCAUGCUGCAAAUAAAUUCGUGGGUUAAUUUAAAUACAAAGACCCACCAUAAAUAUGGAUCUCACUUUCAGCAUGGCCAUGCUUGCCUCCACCUCUCACUAUCAGUGCUACAGCUAUUGCUAUUGCAACCAUUUGCAGACAUCAGAACCAGUUUUAUUGUGGUUGUUUGCUUGCUGGCUUUGGAUGUUCAAUGUGCUCUAGAGACCAUGGGCUAUCCAGGAAUCCUCCAGGCCUUUGACACCAGAUUGGGACUGCUAAGACACACAGUCUGGGGAUGCUUAUCUGCCUCCCGGCCUCUCUAACAGCCCAAGACAACUAUUGUUGAACUACCCAGACCACACUAGUCAAUAAAGCACACCAGAAUUUGAACAGUCUACAGGGAAUGAACUUCUAAGAGGUCUGUGUAUAGUAAACCCCUACACUAAAUAAUCAGAACCCUAUCAAAUAAAUAGCCCUAUGCUGUAUCUCAAACUGUUACCAAGAACAGGACAAAUACAAAAUUAGUGAAAGGAAGGAAAUAAUAAAUAUGGCUGAAAGUAAUGGUGGGGACAAAAGGAACAGUAAAGAUGUUUGCUAAUUGAACCAAACUUAAGAAAAGAAAUAUUAUUGCAUAAAGACUCAAAAUAAGGAAUGCCUCCUAAGCCAUUCUAUGAAUCUAGAAUAACCCAGAGACCACAACUAGAUGAGGAAACAGUGAAAAGAAAACUUCAGACUAAUUUACCCCAUGGACAUUAAAGGAAAGUCUGCAUUGAAAUUCUUUCAUGCCAAAUUCAACCAAACAUUAAACAAAUAUGUACCAUGAUCAAACUGAUUUCAUACUAAGAAUGCAUGGGUGGUUUCACAUUUGUAAGCUGAGAACCGUGAAACAGCAUAUGAACAGAAUCAAGAGUUAAGAAUCACAUGGUCAUCUCAGUAGAGCCAACAAAUCAUCUAUUUUCAAGACACUAAGUACAAAUGGUCAAGAAACACAUGCAAAGAUGCUCACCAUAUUUGGCUCUCAAUAAAUGCCGGCUAACACUAUGUUGAAAGUUCAUCUCACCCAUCAAAAUGGUUAUCAUCAGGAAAGCAAAUAUUGGCAAGGUUAUGAGAACAAGGGAACCUAUAUGCACAGCUGGUGAGAAGGUAAAUUAGUAUGACCAUGAAACUCAGAGCUUCUACAAACACCCAAAAUGAAAGCAGUGUAUAGUGCAGGCAUGCUACAGUCAUAUGCAUGUCCAUAUGAAUCAAAGCUAACAUAUAAUAGAGAUCUACAUCCCCAUGGCAAUCUCAGCAGUUCUCAACACAAUUUGGGCAAUGGAGCCAACUUUAAUGCCUAGUGAUGGAUGAGUGUUUACAGAGACUCUCUUAUGCAAUGUAUAGAAGCAUUACCUGCCAAUAAAAUGCUGUUGGCCUAUUACUUCAGGCAGGAAACAGGGAGUUAAAAAUUCUGGUACAGAGAAGAUUUCUGGUAUAAAGUCAGGCAUGGGGGGUUAACCUCAAACUGAGGAGAGGUAACCAACAGAAUAGAAUAAAAAGGAUAAUUAAUGGUGACCUACAGGAGCAGCCAAAGUUUUGGACUAGACAAUUAUUCGUAAUAAUCCAGUCUCGGAGUCAUUAUUUCAUGAACUUGGGCACAGGUGGAAAAGCCCACUGUUACAUGAGUGGAUAGAGAAAAUCGGAAA